AUUGAACGCUGGCGGCAGGCCUAACACAUGCAAGUCGAGCGAGCGGCGGACGGGUGAGUAAUGUCUGGGAAACUGCCUGAUGGAGGGGGAUAACUACUGGAAACGGUAGCUAAUACCGCAUACCAUCAGAUGUGCCCAGAGGGGAUUAGCUAGUAGGUGGGUUAACGGCCCACCUAGGCGACGAUCCCUAGCUGGUCUGAGAGGAUGGCCAGCCACACUGGAACUUAGACACGGUCCAGACUCCUCCGGGAGGCAGCAGUGGGGAAUAUUGCACAAUGGGCGCAAGCCUGAUACAGCCAUGCCGCGUGUGUGAAGAAGGCCUUCGGGUUGUAAAGCACUUUCAGCGGGGAGGCGUUACCCGCAGAAGAAGCACCGGCUAACUCCGUGCCAGCAGCCGCGGUAAUAC
rnacentral:rRNA from 1 species